rnacentral:rRNA from 1 species
AUUGAACGCUGGCGGCGUGCUUAACACAUGCAAGUCGUGCGGUAACAGGCGUAGCAAUACGUGCUGACGAGCGGCGAACGGGUGCGUAAUACAUGGGAAUCUGCCUUUUAGUGGGGAAUAACCCGGCGAAAGCCGGGCUAAUGCCGCAUAAGAUCUUCGGAUGAAAGCGGGGGAUCGUAAGACCUCGCGCUGAUAGAUGAGCCCAUGCCGGAUUAGCAGUUGGUGAGGUAACGGCUCACCAAGGCGACGAUCCGUAGCUGGUCUGAGAGGACGGCCAGCCACACUGGGACUGAGACACGGCCCAGACUCCUACGGGAGGCAGCAGUGGGGAAUAUUGGACAAUGGGGAAACCCUGAUCCAGCGAUGCCGCGUGAGUGAAG